rnacentral:rRNA from 1 species
UUAGGAAUCUUCCACAAUGGGCGCAAGCCUGAUGGAGCGACGCCGCGUGAGGGAUGAAGGUUCUCGGAUCGUAAACCUCUGAAUCAGGGACGAAAGACCAGCUUGACUGGGGAUGACGGUACCUGAGUAAUAGCACCGGCUAACUCCGUGCCAGCAGCCGCGGUAAUACGGAGGGUGCAAGCGUUACCCGGAAUCACUGGGCGUAAAGGGCGUGUAGGCGGCACUCCAAGUCUGGCUUUAAAGACCGAAGCUCAACUUCGGGACUGGGCCGGAAACUGGAGCGCUAGACGGAUGGAGAGGUUACUGGAAUUCCUGGUGUAGCGGUGGAAUGCGUAGAUACCAGGAGGAACACCAACGGCGAAGGCAGGUAACUGGACAUUUUGUGACGCUGAGGCGCGAAAGUGUGGGGAGCGAACC